AAGCUGACUACCCGCUGGAGACUUCACUUGCAAUGCCGCUUGCUUGUCACUUAUCGUUUUAACAGUUCUGCACACUUUCCUGGCAUUUUCUCUUUCACUAUUCGUCGUUUUGCUAGAACAGAGAGCGAGUGCAACAUUCUCAACAUUAAUGAAUAUCGUGCAUUGGUUUCUGGUUUUGGGAGCCUGCCGAAGCAGCCUAACGUACAGUCGAUGUGCGAGUGCGUCCCGGUGCGUUUCAAUCCCCGUUAAAUAGAUGGCUCUUCUUUUAUUCACAGCCUGAAAAACAGGAAAGAAAACCAUUUAAAAAAGUAAAAAAAAAAUUACAGGUGAAAACUGAAAGCCGUAGCCUUCGUAUAUGCUUUUUAAAAAUACCGGCUCUAGCCAACAAAAUUAAGAUCUGCACAACAUUGCUUUGGAUGGCAAUGAUAAAAGCAAAGCAUCAAUUAAACAUGUUAGAGCCAACGCUGGGCAACAUUGAAAUAACAUAAAAUCUACAAAGAAGUAAUAAUUGUGCUGCAUAGUCCGGAUAAAACUUGGAUGGGGCGAGGAGGUGUUGAAUGAUUUGGAAAACUAACGUGUAUCAUAUCACCCGUGCGUUAAGGUUCCCGCAGUCAAUUUUGUUUAGAAAAACGAAUAGAAACUUCAAAUGCCAAAAUUUUAAUAUCCUCUUCGUUACGCACAAGUAAAGUGAACGUGAAUCUAAAGCACCCACCAAAAUCCGAUAGAUUUAUAAAUAUAUACAAAAAAAGUGAACGAAAUGUUUUCUUGCUGCCGCGCUAAAACUAAAAAAGACAAAAAUAAUAAGAAGAGUGAUGUGCAAGAAACAAAAGAUGAAGUAACGAAUGACCGAAAACGAAUUAUACCAACGAUAAAAAUUGAAACCGGCAAAACGAGUGAUUCCAACGAUGAAGAAA